rnacentral:rRNA from 1 species
CCAGAGUCCUACGGGAGGCAGCAGUGAGGAAUAUUGGUCAAUGGGCGCGAGCCUGAACCAGCCAAGUCGCGUGAGGGACGACGGUCCUACGGAUUGUAAACCUCUUUAGGCGGGGAGUAAUGUGCUCUACGCGUAGAGUAGUGAGAGUACCCGCAGAAUAAGCAUCGGCUAACUCCGUGCCAGCAGCCGCGGUAAUACGGAGGAUGCGAGCGUUAUCCGGAUUUAUUGGGUUUAAAGGGUGCGCAGGCUGUGCAUCAAGUCAGCGGUAAAAUCUCGGGGCUCAACCCCGUUUAGCCGUUGAAACUGGUGUACUGGAGUGUGCGCGAGGAAGGCGGAAUGCGCGGUGUAGCGGUGAAAUGCAUAGAUAUUGCGCAGAACUCCGAUUGCGAAGGCAGCCUUCCAGUGCAUGACUGACGCUGAGGCACGAAAGCGUGGGUAUCGAACAGGAUUAGAUACCCUGGUAGUCCACGCAGUAAACGAUGAAUACUAUCUUUCCGUCGCGAUUGAGCGGGGGGAGGACAAGCGAAAGCGUUAAGUAUUCCACCUGGGGAGUACGCCGGCAACGGUGAAACUCAAAGGAAUUGACGGGGGCCCGCACAAG